GUCCCUGUAGCGCAAUGCAAAACGCGUUAGACUUCUAAUCCAAAGGUCGUGGGUACGAAUCCCACCUGGGAUG
rnacentral:tRNA from 1 species